rnacentral:rRNA from 1 species
ACGGGAGGCAGCAGUGAGGAAUAUUGGUCAAUGGACGAGAGUCUGAACCAGCCAAGUAGCGUGCAGGAUGACGGCCCUAUGGGUUGUAAACUGCUUUUGUACGGGAAUAAAGUGACCUACGUGUAGGUUUUUGCAUGUACCGUAAGAAUAAGGACCGGCUAAUUCCGUGCCAGCAGCCGCGGUAAUACGGAAGGUCCGGGCGUUAUCCGGAUUUAUUGGGUUUAAAGGGUGCGUAGGCUGUUCCUCAAGUCAGCGGUGAAAUGCCGGGGCUCAACCCCGGAGCUGCCGUUGAUACUGUGGGGCUUGAAUACUGUUGCCGUGGGAGGAAUGAGUAGUGUAGCGGUGAAAUGCAUAGAUAUUACUCAGAACACCGAUUGCGAAGGCAUCUCACGAAGCAGCGAUUGACGCUGAGGCACGAAAGCGUGGGGAUCAAACAGGAUUAGAUACCCUGGUA